AACGAACGCUGGCGGCGCGUCUUAAGCAUGCAAGUCGAACGGCAUGAGGAAGCUUGCUUCCUCAGAGAGUGGCGGACUGGUGAGUAACACGUGGGUGACCUACCCUUGAGAUGGGGAUAGCCGUUAGAAAUAGCGGAUAAUACCGAAUACGCUCUACGGACUCUGGUUUGUAGAGGAAACAGGCUACGGCCUGGCUCGAGGAUGGGCCCGCGUCCCAUUAGCUAGUUGGUGAGGUAAGAGCCCCACAAGGCGACGAUGGGUAUCCGGCCUGAGAGGGUGUACGGACACAUUGGGACUGAGAUACGGCCCAAACUCCUACGGGAGGCAGCAGCUAAGAAUAUUCCGCAAUGGACGAAAGUCUGACGGAGCGACGCCGCGUGGAUGACGAAGGCCGAAAGGUUGUAAAAUCCUUUUGCUGAUGAAGAAUAAGCGUGGUAGGAAUGACCGCGUGAUGACAUAGUCGGUGAAUAAGCCCCGGCUAACGUACGUGCCAGCAGCC
rnacentral:rRNA from 1 species